AUUACAAAAUGACCUAGACCGCGAAACAAGCAGUUUGCAGGAGCUCGAGGCUCAGAAACAGGAUGCUCAAGACCGCCUGGACGAGAUGGACCAGCAGAAGGCCAAGCUCCGAGACAUGCUGAGCGACGUCCGGCAGAAGUGCCAGGAUGAGACUCAGAUGAUCUCAUCAUUGAAAACGCAAAUCCAAUCUCAGGAAUCUGACUUAAAGUCCCAGGAAGAUGAUCUGAACCGAGCCAAGUCGGAGCUGAACCGAUUGCAGCAGGAGGAAACCCAGCUGGAGCAGAGCAUUCAGGCUGGGCGAGUCCAGCUGGAAACCAUCAUCAAGUCCCUGAAGUCAACGCAAGACGAAAUCAACCAGGCAAGGAGCAAACUUUCCCAGCUGCAUGAAAGCCGCCAGGAGGCCCACAGGAGCCUGGAGCAGUAUGACCAGGUGCUCGACGGAGCCCAUGGUGCCAGCCUGACCGACCUGGCCAACCUGAGCGAAGGCGUCUCCCUGGCAGAGAGAGGCAGUUUUGGAGCCAUGGUAAAGGUUGAAUAAACGUAUUACAG
rnacentral:lncRNA from 1 species